rnacentral:rRNA from 1 species
GGGAGGAAGCUUGCUUUCUCCUGCCGGCGACCGGCACACGGGUGAGUAACACGUAUGCAACCUGGCCGUCACAGGUGGAUAACCGGAAGAAAUUCCGACUAAUACAGCAUAACACUCCUGAGGGACAUCCUUCGGGAGUCAAAGGAGGUAACUCCGGUGACGGAUGGGCAUGCGGCGCAUUAGGUAGUUGGUAGGGUAACGGCCUACCAAGCCGACGAUGCGUAGGGGUUCUGAGAGGAAGGUCCCCCACAUUGGAACUGAGACACGGUCCAAACUCCUACGGGAGGCAGCAGUGAGGAAUAUUGGUCAAUGGCCGGAAGGCUGAACCAGCCAAGUCGCGUGAGGGAAUAAGGCCCUAUGGGUCGUAAACCUCUUUUGUCAGGGAGCAAAGGCGUCCACGUGUGGACGAGAGGAGAGUACCUGAAGAAAAAGCAUCGGCUAACUCCGUGCCAGCAGCCGCGGUAAUACGGAGGAUGCGAGCGUUAUCCGGAUUUAUUGGGUUUAAAGGGUGCGUAGGCGGAGUGUCAAGUCAGCGGUAAAAUUUCGGGGCUCAACCCCGUCGUGCCGUUGAAACUGACGCCCUUGAGUGAGUGAGAAGUAAGCGGAAUGCGUGGUGUAGCGGUGAAAUGCAUAGAUAUCACGCAGAACGCCGAUUGCGAAGGCAGCUUACCGGCGCUCAACUGACGCUGAGGCACGAAAGUGCGGGUAUCGAACAGGAUU